rnacentral:rRNA from 1 species
AACGAACGCUGGCGGCAGGCUUAACACAUGCAAGUCGAGCGCCCCGCAAGGGGAGCGGCAGACGGGUGAGUAACGCGUGGGAAUCUACCCAUCUCUACGGAAUAACGCAUGGAAACGUGUGCUAAUACCGUAUACGUCCUUCGGGAGAAAGAUUUAUCGGAGAUGGAUGAGCCCGCGUUGGAUCAGCUAGUUGGUGGGGUAAAGGCCUACCAAGGCGACGAUCCAUAGCUGGUCUGAGAGGAUGAUCAGCCACACUGGGACUGAGACACGGCCCAGACUCCUACGGGAGGCAGCAGUGGGGAAUAUUGGUCAAUGGGCGCAAGCCUGAUCCAGCCAUGCCGCGUGAGUGAUGAAGGCCCUAGGGUUGUAAAGCUCUUUCACCGGUGAAGAUAAUGACGGUAACCGGAGAAGAAGCCCCGGCUAACUUCGUGCCAGCCGCCGCCGUAAUAC